rnacentral:rRNA from 1 species
UACGUAGGGUGCAAGCGUUGUCCGGAAUUAUUGGGCGUAAAGAGCUCGUAGGCGGUUUGUCGCGUCAGCUGUGAAAACUCGGGGCUUAACUCCGGGCCUGCAGUGGGUACGGGCAGACUAGAGUGCGGUAGGGGAGACUGGAAUUCCUGGUGUAGCGGUGAAAUGCGCAGAUAUCAGGAGGAACACCGGUGGCGAAGGCGGGUCUCUGGGCCGUAACUGACGCUGAGGCGCGAAAGCGUGGGGAGCGAACAGG